GUUGUUUAAGUGUUCACUUUAUUUUUUUGAGCAGUAUAUUUAUUUAUUGCCUCACAUAUACUCCUAAUGUAAUCUUUGUUUACGAACAGUUAAAGCAAAUGGCAUAUAUUGUCACGUACAUGCUAACCGUUCCCCUUAAUGGGGAAAAUGGUUUAAUGAUGUUGUGAAGAGUAAAAGGUCAUUUACAGUGUUAGGAGGAUUAGUUGUGAUCAUGGUUUUAAGGGCCUUGUUUGGAUUAUUGGGUUUUACCGACAAUGAGCAAUCAUACCAUUGGUUAAAGAAGCUAAAAUUUAGAUGGAGGGAAGUGGGAACAGUGAAGUCUGGCAAAUUAAGCCCCAUUAGCUUGACAGGAUGUUGUCUCGUUAGAACACAAACCUCCCUAACGAUCCCUAACCUGUGAUUGGUUGACGGAGGAGCCCAAAGUGGUUGACCGAACCAUUCAAUUAAAGCUCUCCUCUCUGCUCAUCAGCCUCACUGUAUGACAGUGCCUUAGCAUCAUUAGUUAAUGUAUUUGCAUGGCUGAAUGUGACUGGGCACCUCGUUAACAUCAGUAUCAACAAGCGUGCCAUGGGAGAGGCCUACAGUGCUAUCUGGGACCCAGUGGCGUGCUCUGUAACAAGGCUACUACAGUGUAGAGGCUGUGCCUUCCAGAAUCCCUCUUCCUCGUCUGCUGCUGUGGUGGAAGCUGAGAUCCAGCACCCACGGGACCCCACCCUGGACCAGGUAAGUCUCAACCUUACAGGGAGGGACAUAGCACCUUGUACUAGGUCUGGUUGUCCUCUAGCUGGUGCUCCCCUACACACACACACACACACACGCGCAUACAAACAAUUGUUGAUUCCUUGAAAGCAGUUUAUGCAUAAGGAGAGACUAAUAUCCACUAUUUGGGUUUGAUUGGGGCAAUUCCAUGGUAACAGAAUGAUGCUGAGACUCUGAGUUUUCACUUUAAAAUGUAUGUCAAACAAAAACCAAUGACUGCAAAGUUAAUCAAAUCAUACAAUUAUAUGCACAAGGAGUACUUUUAACAAUUUCCACAGAAAAUUCUACAAAAACACAUUUUCUUGAACAGUGCAGAUGCCAAGUUUGUGUGUGCCAUUAUUCUGUUCCCAAAGUUUGCACUAACCAUUAAUAUCAGCAUUUUCUAACCAGAAACCAACUGAAGUCAAUGUGCCCCAAAUGUUUGCAUCAUGAUCAGGACAGUAACGUAAACCUGACCAUAACGGUUCUAAUCAGUUCUAGGAAUGAGAGGUAUAAUUGACUGUAUAACAUAUGUAAUGACAUCUCUUUUGUUCUGCACUUAGAAAAUAACAGUGUACUAUCUUCAUAUGUUACUGUGGGUUUGAAGUGUGGGUUCAGUAACCAAUGUGACAGUUGGAGGUGGCAUUGUAACCAAUAUCUGGCCCUCUCUUUUGUGUUCAGAAAUAUGCUGUAAAUAUUGAACUUAAUAAUGAUAUAAAAUUACCGUUAUGGUACCG
rnacentral:lncRNA from 8 species